rnacentral:rRNA from 1 species
GGGGGGGGGGGGGGGGGGGGGGGGGGGGGGGGGGGGGGGGGGGGGGGGCGGGGUGGGGGGGGGGGCGCGGGGGGGGAGGGGGGGGGUGGCACGUGGGUAAGCGGCCCUUGAGUGUGGGAUACCGUCAGGAAGCUGGGGCUAGUACCGGAUAGGAGCGCCGGCUGCAUGGUGGGGGUGGGAAAGUUUCGGCGGUUGGGGAUGGCCUCGCGGCUUAUCAGCUUGUUGGUGGGGUGGUGGCCUACCCAGGAUUUGACGGGUAGCCGGCCUGAGAGGGUGACCGGCCACAUUGGGACUGAGAUACGGCCCAGACUCCUACGGGAGGCAGCGGUGGGGGAUAUUGCACGAGGGGCGGAAGCCUGGUGCAGCAACGCCGCGUGCGGGAUAACGGCCUUCGGGUUGUAAACCGCUUUCGCCUGUGACGAAGCGUGAGUGACGGUAAUGGGUAAAGAGGCAGCGGCUAACUAGGUG